rnacentral:misc_RNA from 1 species
AGGAGGAGGAGGAGGUGGUGGUGGUGGCUUAAUUUAAUUUUACUUUAAUGCUUGUUUACAUUCAAGCACGUGCAUAUGAAGGCCAUUUUACUUUAAUUCAGUGGGAAGAUGCUUAGUAUGUUAAAAGGUGAUCUAAAGUACUGGGACUGAGAUAGAAUAUGGUACAUAGGUACAACUGAGGAUCAGACUUUUCCAAAUUUUUUAUAAUUUCUUGACUUAUUUGAAAAUUUUCAGUAAUACAGUGUUGUACUCAUGCCGGACUGCCCUUUCUGAUAUGAAAAACUGAUGUUGUAGGUAAGGAGUCCAUGUAAUUUAAGAAUGACAACAAGAACAAGACAAAACCAAAAACUAGAAUUUAAACAUCUACUAGUUGUGGACUUGUGGGGACCUUAGUAAAUUUGUUUAGUGAUACACAAACCAAUUAGACUUGUCACAUUCUCAGAAGUUAAAAAAUAAAUAAAUAAAUAAUUAGAUAGGGUAUUGGAAAAAAUAUGGAGAAUUAAAACAAUUGUAUUGUAAGGACAUUUUGUUUUAAUGGUGAUCACGAAAGUUCAUCAUAACAGUAUUUCAAAAGUGAGUGUUUUCAAUGAAAUUUCCUGAGAGUCUCUUCUUUCUGAGGUGCUUGGAGUAAAUAUUUUUAUUGUAAGCAUCAAAAAAUGCUUGAAAAACACAAAUUCUACUAGCUUACCUUUAUGACUUGCUUCUGGGCCAACUCUCUUCUAGAUUCAAUUAUGAUGAGAAACAAAGUGACUCUAUCUUGUUGCAGUGAUUAACAUGCAAAAAUUCACUUCCAUGAUCCUUACUCAACGAAACUACCUCAUGUUAGUUGCCAAAUUAUUCUCACUAAUUAUAUUAUGCUUUAGUGUACAAUGUGUCCUUGUCUUGUUUCUACUCUUUUUCAAUGAGAAUCAAAUUCUCAUUACAACUAAAUUUUCUUCUUCUA